rnacentral:rRNA from 1 species
AUUGAACGCUGGCGGCAGGCCUAACACAUGCAAGUCGAACGAGUGGCGGACGGGUGAGUAAUGUCUGGGAAACUGCCUGAUGGAGGGGGAUAACUACUGGAAACGGUAGCUAAUACCGCAUACCAUCAGAUGUGCCCAGAUGGGAUUAGCGAGUUGGUGGGGUAACGGCUCACCAAGGCGACGAUCCCUAGCUGGUCUGAGAGGAUGACCCGCCAACCUUGAACUGGGAAGCGGGCCAGACUCGUGCGGGAGGCAGCAGGGGGGAAUAUUGCACAAUGGGCGCAAGCCUGAUGCAGCCAUGACGCGUGUAUGAUGAAGGCCGUCGGGUUGGAAAGUACUUUCAGCGGGGAGGCGUUACCCGCAGAAGAAGCACCGGCUAACUCCGUGCCAGCAGCCGCGGUAAUAC